rnacentral:rRNA from 1 species
GACGAACGCUGGCGGCGUGCCUAAUACAUGCAAGUAGAACGCACAGUUUAUACCGUAGCUUGCUACACCAUAAACUGUGAGUUGCGAACGGGUGAGUAACGCGUAGGUAACCUGCCUGGUAGCGGGGGAUAACUAUUGGAAACGAUAGCUAAUACCGCAUAAUAUUAAUUAUUGCAUGAUAAUUGAUUGAAAGAUGCAAUUGCAUCACUACCAGAUGGACCUGCGUUGUAUUAGCUAGUAGGUGAGGUAACGGCUCACCUAGGCGACGAUACAUAGCCGACCUGAGAGGGGGAUCGGCCACACUGGGACUGAGACACGGCCCAGACUCCUACGGGAGGCAGCAGUAGGGAAUCUUCGGCAAUGGACGAAAGUCUGACCGAGCAACGCCGCGUGAGUGAAGAAGGUUUUCGGAUCGUAAAGCUCGGUUGUAAGAGAAGAACGGGUGUGAGAGUGGAAAGUUCACACUGUGACGGUAUCUUACCAGAAAGGGACGGCUAACUACGUG